CUGGGUGUAGUUGCCAUAGUAAGAAGAGGACGUAGGUUGAUUUCCUUGUUGAGCGUACCCAUAUUGGGGCUGUUGUUGCAUAGUAGGUUGUCCUGGCUGGACCCAGCUACCAGCAGCAGGAUAAACUGGUUGUGCAUAGCUAUUAGAUCCAGAUGGAUUUAUGAUACGUUUCCCGCUGAUUACAUCAUUAACCAAUUCUUUGGCUGCUUCAAUUUGUUCUGUUGAACCAUUUAUAUAUACUGUUCUCUCUGCUGAUGUGUCACCAGGAGGAAGGUGAAGGGGAAUUAUCUGCAUUCGAGCCCCCGAUCUGCUUUGCAUGUACUUUAUGGUUUCACCGCCCUUGCCAAUGAGCAAUCCAACCUUGUCGUUAGGGACUUUCAUUGCAAACUGCUCAGCUCCAGAUUGCUUCGUAUUCAAUCCGUGAACAGCAGAUGAAGCAGAGCCCCCAGUAUCUGUCUCAGCAAUCACAUCACAGAUCAGUUCUUCGGCCCUGCUAAUUUGUUCUGAAGUACCCAUCAACUCUACAUCCCUUGUUAGAGAAUGAGGAUCAGCAUCUUGAUCCUUGGUAAUUUGAAUUUUAGCCCCUGACUGAAGUUGAAUAUGUUUUAUUGUUUCUCCUCCUUUCCCUAUAACCACACCAACCUUGCCAUUAGGAAUUGUAAUU
rnacentral:misc_RNA from 1 species